GUGGGGAAUUUUGGACAAUGGGCGCAAGCCUGAUCCAGCAAUGCCGCGUGCAGGAAGAAGGCCUUCGGGUUGUAAACUGCUUUUGUACGGAACGAAACGGUUCUGGUUAAUACCCGGGGCUAAUGACGGUACCGUAAGAAUAAGCACCGGCUAACUACGUGCCAGCAGCCGCGGUAAUACGUAGGGUGCAAGCGUUAAUCGGAAUUACUGGGCGUAAAGCGUGCGCAGGCGGUUGUGUAAGACAGGCGUGAAAUCCCCGGGCUCAACCUGGGAAUUGCGCUUGUGACUGCACGGCUGGAGUGCGGCAGAGGGGGAUGGAAUUCCGCGUGUAGCAGUGAAAUGCGUAGAUAUGCGGAGGAACACCGAUGGCGAAGGCAAUCCCCUGGGCCUGCACUGACGCUCAUGCACGAAAGCGUGGGGAGCAAACAGGAUUAGAUACCCUUGUAGUCC
rnacentral:rRNA from 1 species